UACGAAGGGGGCUAGCGUUGCUCGGAAUCACUGGGCGUAAAGCGCACGUAGGCGGCUUUUUAAGUCAGGGGUGAAAUCCCGGAGCUCAACUCCGGAACUGCCUUCGAUACUGGAGAGCUCGAGUCCGGGAGAGGUGAGUGGAACUGCGAGUGUAGAGGUGAAAUUCGUAGAUAUUCGCAAGAACACCAGUGGCGAAGGCGGCUCACUGGCCCGGUACUGACGCUGAGGUGCGAAAGCGUGGGGAGCAAACAGG
rnacentral:rRNA from 1 species